UAAUACAUGCAAGUCGAACGAGUUCUGAUUAUUGAAAGGUGCUUGCAUCUUGAUUUAAUUUUGAACGAGUGGCGGACGGGUGAGUAACACGUGGGUAACCUGCCCUUAAGUGGGGGAUAACAUUUGGAAACAGAUGCUAAUACCGCAUAAAUCCAAGAACCGCAUGGUUCUUGGCUGAAAGAUGGCGUAAGCUAUCGCUUUUGGAUGGACCCGCGGCGUAUUAGCUAGUUGGUGAGGUAACGGCUCACCAAGGCAAUGAUACGUAGCCGAACUGAGAGGUUGAUCGGCCACAUUGGGACUGAGACACGGCCCAAACUCCUACGGGAGGCAGCAGUAGGGAAUCUUCCACAAUGGACGCAAGUCUGAUGGAGCAACGCCGCGUGAGUGAAGAAGGCUUUCGGGUCGUAAAACUCUGUUGUUGGAGAAGAAUGGUCGGCAGAGUAACUGUUGUCGGCGUGACGGUAUCCAACCAGAAAGCCACGGCUAACUACGUGCCAGCAGCCGCGGUAAUACGUAGGUGGCAAGCGUUAUCCGGAUUUAUUGGGCGUAAAGCGAGCGCAGGCGGUUUUUUAAGUCUGAUGUGAAAGCCCUCGGCUUAACCGAGGAAGUGCAUCGGAAACUGGGAAACUUGAGUGCAGAAGAGGACAGUGGAACUCCAUGUGUAGCGGUGAAAUGCGUAGAUAUAUGGAAGAACACCAGUGGCGAAGGCGGCUGUCU
rnacentral:rRNA from 1 species